AUUUGCUGGCUUUGGCUUUGC
rnacentral:piRNA from 1 species